GUGUUUUCUUGGAAGUGGCUAACCUCUUAAGUUUGAAGCUUUGUUACUGUUUUUGUCUUCCAGUGCCUUCUCUAGGGAUGAAUUUUUAGAAAGAUAUUGGUGAAAUUUGGUUUUACUUUGAAAAUUAUCAUUUUCUUCUCUAUUAAUUGAAAGCCUAGUAGUUUCAGAUGGCAUUUAUGGUCUCUCAUGUCUGUAGAAGAAAUACCCAUUGAGAAGUCAGGUAUUACUCUAAUAGUUUACUAAUGUGUUACUUGUUUUCCCUUUACAUCUUUUAACUCUUUCUUUGCUAUGUACAUUUAAAGUUUGGAUUAUUACGUGCAGACAGGCAUUUCCCUUCUAGUCUAGACUAUUUGGUGCUCUGCAUGCUUCUCCUACCAUAGUAAGCAUUUCUUGUUUUAGGUAGGGAAAUUUUUCUGUUUUGUGUCUGGUGGUUAUAUUUUCUGUGCCUUAGACUUAGGUUUCUUCUCCUUCCUAACCUCUUACUCUUCUUAGGCGAUUCUUCUCAUGGUGUCCAAGAUUUCCUGGAUAUUUCUUCCCUGGAAUUUUAGACUGAACAUUUUCUUUUACUGAGGUAUCCAUUUCAUCUAUCACAUCAUCAGUGCCUGAUCAUUUCUCUUACAUUUUUUUUGUUUUCUGUAGCUAAUUUUUGCCUCUUAUUUCCUACUCGAGUUUUUCAACUUUUCAUUUUCAAAUUUCUCUCAGUUUGGGUUUUUUGUAUUAUAUCUAUCUCCAGUUUCUUGUCUUAGAUCAUCUUCUUCCAGUGUCUGUUUUGUUUUCAUACUGUGAUUCAUUUCCUUUAUAAGGGGCUCUAGCAUAUCCAUCUAGGUAUUAUACACCCCUUUCUGUGUUUCAGCUAUGACGUGCCUAUAAUAUUCAGGGCUUGUCCUGCUGGACUCAAGUUCUCACAUUUUGUCCUGGCUGCUGUUAAUUGCAUUUUUACACUGGUUUCUAGGCAUCUGGCUUCGGAAAGAUGGUAAUUGAAGGUGCUGAUACCUGGUCUUGUUUUCCUGAAUGGAAAUUUUGUCCUUGGGUUUCGGUUGCCCUCUCUGGUUCUUAGGAGAGUAUAGUGGCUAUGUGUUGCCUGGUAGGAAAAUUUUCCAGGAUACUGAGGUUUCUGAGUAAAUUGUUUUUCUUGGUAUUGGGAACUGAUACAUAGGAAUUGGAUAAACCUGAAGUGGUUCCUAAGGGGGUGUACAGAAGGGGGGAAAUCAGGGUGUUUCACCAGGAUCCUCUUAGUCUCUUGGGAAUGGGACAAAGAGUAAGUAGAGGCUCCAUUAGGUAAUUUUCUACAGAGUUGGGGAUGAGACUGGAGGAUUGUUUAUAGAGUAGAGAAGGGGGAAUGACAGUCAAGAGUUCCCCUACCUGCUACACUAGGCUCCUUGCUUCCCUGGUGGGUUCCCAGAGAAUACGUGCAUGAGGUGGAAGCUAUGGCAAUAGGUUUAGUUGGGAUGAAGCGUUGAAGAGAAAAUCUGGGUAACUUGCCAGAGCUGCAAACAGAAGGGAGAAGAAAUGAUAGCCUGUGGUCUGCUACAGAGAUAGGAGUAAGACUAGAACACAUAUGGAGUAUGGUGAGAGUCUAAGAUCCACGGGUAGGCUAUCCGCGGGUGGCAUGAGAGUUCCCAGGGAGUGCAUGCUGGAAUUAGAGAUUGGGAUAAAGCUAUGAGAAAGAAGAAGAAAGCUUGAGGGGAAGAUAUGUGAUCCACCAGGAGAUAGAUGUUGGGAGAGAAAUAAGGCCUCAGCAGGUCUUCUUCAACAGAGAUAAGGAUGAAAAUGAGAGAUCUGAGAAAAAGGAUAGAGGUGACGAUCUUCUAUCAGCCUACCUGCUUCUCUGGCCAGAGAAAACCACUUGUUAAACUAAGUAUUAAGGAGAACAUGAUGAUGUAAUACUUAUCAUAACUAUCUAACAAUUAAAGUAGAAGAUGAAAUAUAUUUAGUAUCACAUUCACCUAAGGCCAUGUGUAUUCCAAUAUGUUUUUGUGUAAGCAUUAUAAGUUAAUUAAGAAAAUAUUAUUUAUGUAAUUAAGACCAAAAGUGUGUCAUUUAGAUCCAUUUAGGAAGACAGAAAUUACAUUGGCUAUUUCAUCUAAGGUAUUAAGAACUUUAUAUGCAGAUACAAUUUCUUCUAAUCCAAUCUAAGUACUGAUUCCUUCCACUCCACUUCUUUUAGUCCAUUGCAAUAACCCCUGCAGCACAUUUCCGUAGCAAUUUCAUACACUUAUUGUUCCUUACCUACACCGUUCAGCUUUAUGUACAUGUGUAUCAGGCUAUCUAAUGCAACGUAAUAGCUUCUUGAGGUCUGCAACCUUGAGCAAGAGUUACUUUCCAUCCAAUAGUUGUUUCUUUUCGAUAUGAGCUUGAUUUCUUCAUUCUAUGGCUCAAAUACGUAAUGUCUCCAGCAACAAGGUUUUCCACACAUUCUGGAGGGUAACCUAGAGCCUCAUGAAUAUCAGGUUGAGGUUCGUGUCCUCUGGAACCUCAUUGACCACUAACUCAAAGAGAUAGACUAUUCAUGUCACUCGAUUUUUAAUGUACUAUCUGACACAGGCAUAUUCCUCCCUUACAGAACGAUGGAAUUUUCCAUUUAAACGCCUUUUAUAGGUACAAAUAUUUCAGAAAGCAUCAGCAAUUAUAGAUUUAGAUGCUAUUUUCAAGUCUUUAGUGUCAGUUAUGCUUCCCCAUAUACCCUUCUUUACCCUGACCUCCCAUCCUGUCCAAGUCUAAGCCUUCUUGUUCCAUUAUUUCACUUUCUAUGCUCAUAUUGGUAAACUGCUUAAGAAAUAGAGAAUAUUUUAAAUGGGAACGUGGUUUACACUGUUAUUAUCUCUAAAGCUAGAUAGCAAAGAUAGGUCAUCAGAAACUUGAAAGUAGAGAAUGUAAAUUGGCCUACAUGUCUAUUGAAUGUGUAUCAAAUAAGUUUAGUCUUUCUACCCUAAAUAUAUAGUCCAAUCCCCUGUACCACUAAUGAGGACUCUGGACUUAGAAUUAUAAGUUUAAUUAGUAGUGUGUCUUAUGAGAUUUAGUGGGUAGAGAUUAUAGAAAGAAGCUAAUGUAUUUAAAACAUUUGAUUAUCAAUUGGAACAAACCAUUACAAUCUAAAUGAACCAUCAUCAAUUAUAUAAUGUUAAUAGCUGGCAAUACUUCUUUUCUCAAAAUUAUAGAUAUGUCAUUGUAGUGUCUCAUCCAAGGCUUGAGCUGUCAUAUGUAAAGAAAUAAACAGAAAAAAAACCGUAUCCCAUCUACCACCAAUGGUCUAAAUAUCCCUGUAAAUAAAAGCAAGGAGAGACAUCUACCAUAAAAGAGAAUGCCUGCACAUAUUUCAAAGCUAGAUGGUGGACCUUAAAUAAUUACGGAAUGAGAAAGCAUGAUGUUAUUUACAUUGGUUUAGAAGGACAGGCACAUCAUAGAAAUCAUCAAGAAUUGUUUUAAAUUUAGUUUCACCAUCAUAAGGAUAUUGUAAUGAGAUACAAAACCCAGAUUUCAUGGACCCUCUUGAUGGAUCAAUGUAGAUUAAAAAUUAUAAUAAUCAUUAAGUAUCAUAUUCAUUAACAUAAACUUAGAAUAACAUACGUUGUUUCUUAAAUUUAAAUUUUUUUCAAUAGGUUUUAAGUGUUCAGAUAAAUCUUGUCCAUGUAAACUUUAAAAUGUGCCACCUGUGUAAUUCCUCAUAUAUUCUGCACUUAUGAGAAUCAUAAUAUUGCCAAUAUAUUAAACUCUUAAUUUAUUUGUUUCGCUACCUACCAGUGACAUGUCUCUUAAAUUUUUGUUUAAGAUUAAUACAUUAAUGUAAUGAAUCUGUUAGAAAAUCUUACUUUUACCCCCUUAUGAGCCACAUAUUUUAAUCUUGUUGUAUAGUGUGAGAAUGUGGCUACAUAUAAAUGCAUGACAUCACCUGAGAGUCUCCCUGGUGGAGUCAAUAAAAGCCCAAAUACUCUCUUGAGGAGAAAAUGCGACUUUAGAUGUGUAGUAAUGUUUUUACCUUAACUCACCUUAUAAAUCAACUUGCCCAGAACUCACUGAGGAUUUUUUUUUGUAUUCCUGUUUAAGUUGAUUAUCUGACCAGCCCUUAGGCCAAUUCUGUACACAUCUACUAUUAAUAAGGUGUUUGUGCUCUGAAUAAUGCAUUUCUUGAAACGACAUACAUAAAAUUUUAUUACAGGCAUUUAUUAUAUAAAUUUAGAUGAGAAUCCCUUUGCUUUCAGUUGCAACGUCACCCAUAGAUGUAUUUUAUACAUUUAUAGAAAGUAUCCAGUAGUGUCGUAAAAGCCUUAUAAAACAGAAGACACUAAAUUUAAUUUUUAUCUGGUAUAUUUCUAUGGGAAUAUCCUAUAUGCUGACCACUGAUGUGUCAAAUGUCACCUGCAAAAUGAACUUUUCUUCCUUUUUAGAUCCCUGGGCAUUUGUACUCCAUAUUGUAGUGAGGUACUGUGUGACUCGAGACAUGUCAAUAUGUUCUCCACUCUCUUCUAAAGCUGUUAACUGGAGCAAUGCCAUUUGGCAUACAAAUAUGUCUUACAUUUGGAAGCUCAAUUUCCUAAACACCACUUCCGCUUCAUGUUACUGAUAUGAAGAUUAAUUAACCAGACGCAGGCUACGACGUAUUUGUCUUCCAUCAUGUAGAUGUAUGACAUUUCUGCUUAGGAUCGCACAGUUGCAUAAAAAGUGGAGAAAAAACAAGGCCAGGGAAAAUUCUAUUUAGUAACAAUAAAACUGCUGACCAAAUUCGGUGACAUUUGAAUGGACAAACAACCAGCAAAUUCUACACUGAGAGAAGUUUCAGUUAACAUAAUUAAUCAUUAUUUAUGCCCAACAAAUAUUUUUUCACUAAAUAUGUGUUGAUGACUACUAUACUCAAGUCAAAAUAAAUAACCAAGGGUGGGUAAUCACUGGACUGUAAAAAAAUAAAAGUAAUAAAAAAUAAGUGAACAAAGAAAUAAAAACAAACAAGCAAACAACAAUUUUAAAAAAGCAAGAAAACAAAAUACAAGAAGAGUCUAGAAUCCUUGAGAUAAAAUGUUCUGAGAAGUGUUUCCUGAGAGUCAUCACAGAGAAUCGAGUUCAGUGGUGGCCAAGGUUGUAUCAUAUGUUGGCAGCAGAACAUGAAAGAAUGAGAGUUACCCAGAUGCUACUGGUAUAAAGGCAUGAAGGGGUCAUGGAGGGUAGCUGACGCUUGGCACUGUGAGAAUACAGGGGAGGCCGUUAGUGAAGGUGAAUCCUCAAACCAUCUGAGACCCAGGAAUGACUGUGUCACGGAGAGAACUUGACACUUGGUACUAUGAAGAGAGUCUUUGAAGGCUAUAGACGAAUGCACAUUCAAGUUCCAAUAGAGGACCUCAGCAGAUUUGGAGAUGUAAAUAGCAUUAAGUAUUUAAUUUUGAUUUUUACAGCUGGAAAGACUUUGAAUUUUCAAAGAGAUUUUGGACUUUCAGAGAAACUGGAUAUUUUAAAGGGAGUUCUUAAAGACGGUGGGACAUCUUCUUCUUCCUCAGGAUUCUCUAAGGUCCCCUGAUGUUUGGCUGUGGGUCUCAGCAUCAGUCUUCAUCAGUCACUGAGGGAAGCUUCUCUGAUGACAUUGAUUCUAGGCUCUUGUCUGCCAGUACAACAGAAUAUUGUUAAUACUGUCAGGGGUGGGCUCUCUCUCAUGACAUAAGUCUAAAGUUGCACCUCUCAGUAGUUGGUUAUUGCUUCAAUUUCUGCUCCCUCAUUAUCCCUGCACAUCUUGUAGGAAGAAAAAAAAUGUAGGUCAAAAUUUUUUGUGACUGGAUUGAUGUUCCCAUUCCUCCAUUAGAAAUCUUUCCUGGUUAAAGGAUCUGGGCAUCUCAAGUUUCACAAACAUACUGUCCGUUUUGAAAUCAUUAACAUAUAUAUUAAAAGCAAAACUUAAGAGAUUGCUUUUCUUUUACAUUUCUACAUAUCUUGUUAUCUGUUAAAAGUCUUUGUAAACAAAGAACAUGUCUUCAAAACCGAGACCAAUGCAUGCAACUCUGAAAAACAAAAUCCAUUAGUAUUUUGCUUCCAAAAGCCUGUGAUUGUGAAGUUCUUCCUGUAAGUUGAAAAGGAAUAUACAGGUUUAAUUUUCUUUAAAAUUCGUAAUGUAAACAUCAUAUUAACUAUGGACACGGUGUCUCCAUGCAGUACAGAUCCUUUGGUAAAAGACUUGAUAUACCACGAGUACUGUCUAUUUUACUUCCUAAAAAUUCACAAGCAAUGUCUCAAAUGGUAGAAGAAUUAUGCAGGACUUCAUGGUACAAAAUGAGGCUAGCCAAUACUUUAGAUGACGUCUUAUUAAAAAGUGUGGGCUUUAUUUCUCAUGUGAAGCAAAUAUUAUCCAAGUGUAGAAAAGUGCCACAGUAUCUUUCCCACGUCAGUGGGAGAACACACUUUUUAUUUUUUUUUAUUUUUUUAUUUUUUUAUUUUUUUUUUUUUUGAGCUGGGGACCGAACCCAGGGCUUUGCGCUUGCUAGGCAAGCGCUCUACCACUGAGCUAAAUUCCCAACCCCGGCAGAACACACUUAUUUUGUGAGAUGUCAUAUUUUCAAUGCAGUAAAAGUAAACGUAUCAUUUGGGGUAGUAAGAAAAGCAUGCUUAUCAUGACUGUACAUAUUAUUACAUUAUGAAGCAUGAAAAUAUGUCAUUUUAUAUUUAGUAUAUUAAAGCACUCAAUACUCAAUACUCAAUAUAUAUAUAUGUACUGUAUUGAGUAUAUAUAUAUACUGUAUUGAGUAUAUAUAUAGUGUGAGUAUAUAUAUAUAUAUAUAUAUAUAUAUAGUGUGUGUGUGUGUGUGUGUGUGUGUAUUUUUGCCUUGUUCCUGUUUCCUUCUAAAGAAUUCUAAUUUCUUUGACUGUAAAAUAUGUGGUUUUAUUUUCCCAAUGAUGAUUAUAGUGAUUAAGUUUAUUUUUCUCUGAAAUAUCAAGAGAGAUAUUAUAGUAAUUUUCAGAUGCAGAAGUAGCUGCUAAAUCUUAUCCAAAUGUUUAUUGUGAAAGGGUUGAAAUAAUCUGAAAAGGGUAAAUUAUUUUUUAAUUCAUAUGUUAACCCUAGUCUAGCAAAAUAGUAGGGGAGUAAUAUUUUGACAUUGGAUUUGAUUGGAUGUUUUUGAUUAUCAAAGACUGGGCUGUCCGUAGUAGCAGAAGUCCACUACUUUUCAUCCUACCUACCUCAGUCAAUGUGCAUACCUCUUGAAAAGAAGAAAAAUAAUAAAAGAUUAUGUUCUGUAACUGACCCCAGCACCCUGAAACUUUCCAAAAAGCUUGUACAAAAUUGUCACAGAAUGCAGUCAGGCUGGUAUUCGAAGACUAAGGUGCACUGCCCCACACCCCGACCAAGAUUCUUCAAAUUCAUUCUAAACAGGCACUAAGACAUACUUCACCAAGAAAUACAUUUUUUUUCCUUAGUAGAAAGAAUGUGAUGGAGAGUUCCGGAAAAGCUUAUUUCUGACCCUCAUCUUGACAUGUAUAAGCAACAAUAUCUUGACAAUUCAGUUUCUGCUUUUGGAGAAAAAAAACAAACAAAUAAGUUUCCCUUCGGUGACCUUAAAACUUCAGCUAAAGUGACUUUUAAAAUUGCUCUAGUGGCCUGCCAGCAGCACUUACACCUGGUGUCUUUCCUUUUGUUUCUAUGUCCGGCUCUAUUCCUAAGCUGCCUCGUGUCUGCUCUAUACCUUAAUUGUUGGCUGCUUGUAAGAUUGAAGUGGCUGGCAUGGCCCUUUAUCCAAAUAAGAAGUGAAUACAGCCUUUUACACAAUUUUAAAUUGUGUUUGUUGAAAGAAUAACUGACCGUUAACCCCUCCUCAAUUCUAAAAAUCUAAACAUUUAUGUGCACUGUCACAUAAUUUUCUCCUAACAUUUAAAAGCAGGCUAUUUUAUAAGUCCAUACUCCAUUCUUGUGUGGGGAUUGUUCCCUGGCAGGCGCCUUUAGAUUGCCUAAGAGUGUCCCUGUGAUAAAAUUCCACAGACGGAUAAACCUCAUCAAAUUCCCUUUCUGUCUUCAAUUUUCAAAGGAUACAUUUCUUUCAAUUAAAAAGAUAAUCUCCAGGAUAUAUACUAAGUCUUUAUGUACAAAAAUAAAAAUGGAAGAAAAUAUGGGGAGUGGGGGGCCAAGCAAAAAAGACAAAUUCACUACAGUUCCAGUCUGCGCCCUGAUUUUUCUCAAGUAGAUGGCACUGUUUUGUCAACAGCUCCAUCUGCAGACCAGGGACAGCUGUGACUCUUGCUUAGUGAUGAGGUCACUAUGCGUCUGCUCUCAACCUGCAGUCUGUCUAUUCAAAUUUGAUUUGAAAGGCAACACCUGAUGUCAUCAUUUUUAAGCUAAUUUUUUUUUAGCAAUGUCAGGUUUUGUAUGAUUUCUGAAAGAUAGCUUUAGGCUCUGUCACUGGAAAUUUCUAGAGAGGGGAGGAAGGAAAAGCCAGCUACGAAGCAGGGUAAACUUUUCCAGCAGUUGUUUAUGCAGACUAUUAAUCUUUCCAUUGUUUUCCUGAGAAGACAUGAUUUCUGGGUACUUCCCCCACAAAGGCUGCUUCCAAGCAGCUGUGGUUUCAUCACUCUCUCUAGUGACAGAGGGAGAACAGUUCAGGUCCCACUGCCGAUGCUGCAGUCUCAGUGCGUUAAAUAAUGUGUGCUCUAAGAGCAAAAGUGUCAGCAGAGACUCCACGCUGAAGGAGAGGUUGAAAGGAGGACUUCCAGCUCAGCCACACUUAAAAGUCCUUGGACGUAGAGGUCUGUAUGUUUGGAACACUAGAGGGCUGUAUAAGUCUUUAUUUUAUUUAUUUUUAUUUUUAAAACCUUUAAGGGUAAUAAGUUUCUGGGGAAGAUGGAGUGGAUAUGAGCUGAUUUAAAAUGAAAUCUGAGUAAUUGAAAAACCAAAGAGAAUGAAUUAAUCAGGGUAACACACCUCUAAUGAGAAACAUAUGCAUACACACAUGCACAUAUAACACACACAUUCUUUACAUAGUGCUUUGAUAGAAUAAUUACUAUACUUGAAAUCCUUGUCUAACGAACCUAUUGGUCUUCAAUGGGAAUGUAUUUCAAAUUGAAAUAAUUACGUUUUUUCCUACAUGUAAUGUAUUUUAUGUGUAGCUAAUAUAUUUAUUCAAUAGAAGAUUAAGAGCAUGAGCCAAAAUCCAAAGUUAUAGUGAGGUUGCUGUCAUUGGAAACCUAAAAUAGGUAAUUGCUGACAAAAAGCUUUGAAGACAUGCAAGGGCUAUAAAACUGUAGGCUGUCUAUAUUAUUGCUAUGGGUCAUAUUGUUCCAUGGCGUAGUGAUUUGCAGAGUCGUUUUGCUAACAUUGGGAACUCUGUUAGAUUAUCAAACUCUGCACCUUUACUAAAAUAUUUGAUGCUAAAUAAGGAUAUAAUAAUGUAUACUACUUUUCAAUUAUUGUUGGCAUCAUCGUUAUUAUGUGCAUUUAAUUAUAAAUAGAUUUGAGCAUUCUUUAUUUAUGCAAGAGGAAUAUAUAUUAAUACUUUAUACCUAGACAUACAUUCUAUUUAAGAAGUAGACAUCGUACACCCUAAAAUCACCACUACCGAACAAAAGUUAAAAAGAUCAGAGGACAAAAGCCAAUGCAUAUGAUCCAAAUAGUUUAAUUAUCAUGUGCCUAACAUUGCUACUAUGAUGUUGAAUAAGGGAGAAGUUAUUAGUGCUACAGGGUGAAAGACAGUCAUUCUUAAACAUGUCUAAUAAAAAUAAUAGGAUGAAACCAAGUACAUUCAGUCAGGACUAUAAAACUCAAAUCCAUUGAUUUGUAAACACAGAAUGGUGAUUAAGGAAGUUUUAGCAGAAGAAAACAUGAAUGAAGGCAUCAGUAGAGAAGGAAGUAUUAGAAAAACCUUCUCAAUGAAGGUGACCAUUAAUAAAGAGGCUUUGGGGGGUUGGGGAUUUAGCUCAGUGGUAGAGCGCUUGCCUAGGAAGCGCAAGGCCCUGGGUUCGGUCCCCAACUCCAAAAAAAAAAAAAAAAAAAAAAUAAAGAGGCUUUGGCUUUUGGUAACAUGACAAGAUAGUCAAAUAAUGAGAAGACUUUUUAAAUAUAGCAUAUGCCAGACAUAGGUAGAAAACAGCAUCACUGAAUUCAAAAUUUUAAUUUGUUUCUAAAUAAAGAGUUUUGGAAACUUUAUAACCUAGGAACUACUAACAAGAAAUACAACGAAGAUUAAGAUGUUUACUUAUUUGUCUGUUUAACUAUUGCUCCUAUUUUUAUUGAAAAAAUAAAUUCUUCUCUUAUACAAUACAUUCUGACUCCAGUUUCCACUCCCUCCGUUCUCUCAGCUCUCCAUGCACCUCCCGUCUCUCUAGACCCACUUUCCCAUCCUUCAGAGAUUAGGUCUCCAAAGGACAACACAACUUAGGAUAAAACAAGACUGAAUAAGAUAAGGGAAAGGUGCUCACAUUCAGGCUGGAUAAGGCAACACAUUAGGAGUAAAAGAGUCACAUGAAGAAACUACAGAGUCAGGGAAAUGCCCACUCCUACUGUUAGGAAUUCCACAAAAUAUCAAGCUAACUAGCAGCUAUAGAGGACCUGGUGCAGACCCAUGCAGGCCCUGUGGAUGCCACUUCAACCUCAGUGAGCCAAGAUUAGCGCUGCAUAGUUUACUCGGUGGGGAACAUUGUAUUGGUGUCCUCCAUUUUCUUUGACUCCUACAAGAUUUCCUCCCACUCUUCUGUAGGUUCUCUGAGCUCUGAGAGAAUGAGCUAAGGAGACUCCAGUUUAGACUCCUUCCCCACAGAAUUCUGAUUAUGGAUCUGUGUACCCGCUCCCAUCUUCUGCCAGAGGAAGCCUCUCUGAUGAUGACUGGAGAUUUUUAAACUAGUAAAUGUUUCCGUUCUUAGUGGAGCAUACUGGAGUCUAGCGUCAUUUGUCAUCACGAUUACCACUUAGAUAAGUAAACAUGAAGACUCAGAUGAUAUGGAUGAAAUAUAUGGUGAAACUAAGUCCAUCUAGAAUAUAACAUACGUUGCUAGGCAACGUGGCUCAAACUGGCCAUCCCAGCUAGCAUUCGGGAAGCUGGAGUUGAAAGACCACAACUCUGAGACCAUCCUGAUGUACAUAGUACGUCCUGAGCAAACCUGUGCUAUCUUGUGUGACUUCAUUUCAACACACAUGUCCCCUCUACACCCACUUCAAGUACUAGACACUAAGGUUUUAGAGAAUAAAUAUGAAGUAGUGGCUAUCCAAUGGAGAUGAUACGCACAGAAUUGAGCUACCACUAUAAGGAAGGAUGAUAAAUGCCAAGAAGCUACGAAACUGACAAUGUGUAGUAAACAGCAUUUUCUUUUUUAGAAUCUGGAAAAAUCCUUUGAUACAAAAAAAUAAUGCUGUAGCAAAGCCUAUACAAUAAAAUAAAUAGAAAACCCAUUGAAGCGAUAGACAGCGAUGGUUCUUAACGUAUACACCAAGACUCUUAUUUCAAAUAUUAGAGGCUGAAUAACAAGACCAUAAUUUAAAAUGCUAUAAAAGUGACCAUUGGGUAUUACUUUCCAUCCCUUUCCUAGAGCUUUAAACUUAGAGCACGUAAAUCCCUUUGAACUGCUUUCUGGAGUAACUGGUUCCCACAGAAGCAUCACUGUGCUACUCUUACAGGCACCCGAUGGUUCACAGGUCAUUUUUUAUUUUCCUUGCAGCUUUGCUAACUGUAGAUGAUGCUCCUGCAUGUGAGAAAUCACCAUAUCUUUUUGUAUGUGUAAAAUUAAGAACCAAUCAUUUGCUUCCGAGUAGUCACUUAUAAAAUUUCCAUUUCUCUGCUUUCUGCCUCCUUCUCACAUUUAAGUAUGGAAGCCACAAUUAAAUCUUCCACAAUCUGUAUUGCUCAGAAUACUCUCUAAACCAUGUGAUGUUCACUUUGCUAGUUCUAUGCCCUGCCUGCCAGUAUUGCUUUAGAAGGAAGGAAUAAAAGGCUUUAUAGAAACCUUCUACAAACUUAAAAUAGUUUUUUUAUUUGUAACAAAAUUCUUACUUACCUUCCUCCUUACCUUCCUCUUCUGCUUUCCAAAUCUUCCCAUGUACUUGUACUUUCUUACCUAUUUCAAAUAUAUAUAUAUAUAUAUAUAUAUAUAUAUAUAUAUAUAUAUAUUCUUUCUGCCUUAUGGUACUUGUAUGCAUAUAUAUUUCAGGGCUGACCAUUUGUAAUUGAAUAACCAUUAGGUUUGCUCCUCUCUUGGAUAAGGUUGCUGUUCCUGCUCUUGGCAGUUCUUAGUUCUCCAUCAUUCUUUGUCUAAGCCCCUUCCACAUGUUUAUUGGUAUUAUCAUUGUUCAGUUUAUGUCUAGGCAAACACGUUUAUGAGACCUUAUAAUUGUAAGGGUAAAUGGUCUCAAUGUAAAUGACCUCAUCGCCAGUUCUUACAAUCUUUCUGCGUGUACUUCUGCAGGGACCCCUUCCAAAGAGCUGGUGCUUAUAAGAAAAAAUAUCAAAGCCCAGCAAAUAGUUCUUAUAUUAAGAUAUAUAUUUAAGGGGUUGGGGAUUUAGCUCAGUGGUAGCAAGCGCAAGGCCCUGAGUUCGGUCCCCAGCUCCGAAAAAAAAGAAAAGAAAAAAAAAGAUAUAUAUUUAAAAUAAGAAUAAAGAAAGGUUUUUGUAAACUCCGUUUAUCCUUAUCUACACUUUCUCAAGGGUAAUAUAAUAUCUAUUUUAGCUAAUGGAUUUGCAGGCAUUUCCUUGAGUGGUUUAUUUGCCUGUUUUAGAUAACCUCAUUGCAUAUCAAGGUUUACUUCUGAAUUAAAAGGAGAUGUCAGUUAAGCAUUAUAUAGAUGAGUAAUCUCAAUGUUGUUUAAAUUGAGCUACAAAUAGACAAGAUAACAGUCCUUUAUGAAUUAUUCUUGGCUAAAACAAAGCUGGCAUUUGAAUUCGGUAGAUGACCAACAUUUGUAUAGAUAACAACAAGAGGCAAAGAUUUUCAGUUUAGCUUUGCCACAUAGAAAAAGGAGAUGUACUCCAGGCUAAAGCAUGAGCUCUAUGUUCACUCUCAGGUUUUAAACUCAAAAUCAAUUCCCGUAUUUUAUUCUUACUGAAGAACGUUUUUCUUCGAAUCCCGUUCCCCUAUCUGUAAACCCCAAAUGGGUCCACCUAUCUGACAUGGUUGGUGUGAGGACAAAUGAAGUGAAUGUGAAGCACUGUGUCUGCCAACAUCAUGAGUGGCAGGUGUUCCUCUCCAGAUAAGUCCAGGGAACAUCCACUGGACUGAAGCAGACAGUUGACACGGGAGCAAAAUGAGAUAGUGCGAUUCCUGUGCUGUGUGCUUAGUGUGGGGGACACUCACUGGGAACACUUGGAAAAGUCCUCUCAGUUUUUUUUCUGUAACUAAUGCCUGUUUGAUUUUUGAAGCCAACGUGGUAUCCAAUAGCUCCAUUGAGGACAACAGCUAAUGAAUGUUGACAAGCAUGACUUGUCAGCUAAGCCAUUUAAAUUGACAGUGCGUCUGGGCUAAACUAGUGUUAGGCAGAAGUUUGUAAGUGCCUGCAAGGGAAAAGGAGAGAGAAAUACAGAAACACAGACCACAAACAGAAAACACAAAUGGGAAGUUGUCUUUUAGCCUUACUCAUCACUGUAGAAGUGUCCUGCAUUGUGGCUUUAUGAGCCACCCACUUUCUGUGUCAUAACAGGCUAUAACAAUGUAUUUAAAUGACAACUGCCACAGCCAGGAGAUGUAACAAGGCAGUACUCCCUAGAGGCACUAUAAAGUGUUCUGGGCAAACCUUUACCAUUUGUUUCUAACCACUCUGUGGACUAAUAAAAGCCGGUGAAAGCAAGAAAUAGAGGGGCAAUGCCAUUCUCUCUGCAGCUGUUCAUAGAAGACCAUGAUUUCCCCUGCACCUGAGAUGUGUGACCGUACAGUGUUGUUUUUCAAACUGCCCAUGGAAACAGAAUGGAUCCCAGGGCCACCAAUUACAUUCAAAGCUUCAAAUGAGUCAGCUUUGAAAGUAAUUAGAUAAAGAAAAUUAAUUCCAGUUGGGAACACAUAAAACAUUUCAUUUGGAAACCAACAUGAAUAACAUUAUUACUAUGGUAAAUAUACAAUAUGAAAAUCUAAAAUUACAAUACAUUCUGACUUUAAUAUUUCCAUACAAAUUAAUGUUUUGUUAACUCUCUGUAAUGUGUGCAAUUGUCAGGAGACAAAACAACAACCAGAAUGGAGCAUGCUCUUUUGAACAAAGCCUUUGGGCAGAGUCAAAGUUCUAGACCCGGGGUUGGGGAUUUAGCUCAGCGGUAGAGCGCUUGCCUAGCAAGUGCAAGGCCCUGGGUUCGGUCCCCAGCUCCGGAAAAAAGAAAAAAAAAAGACUCUGCCCCAAAGUUCUAGACCAAGCUAGAAUGAGGAAAAUAUGCAAAGACUGAAACAAUUUGACAAUCUAUGCCUCUCUCUGUUUCUGUCACUCUCUCUCAAUCUCUCUCUCUCUCUUUAUGUGUAUGUAUGUGUGUGUGUGUUGUGUUUCUCUCCCUCUUUUCUUUUUCCUCCAUUACUUUCUAUUUCUUUCUCUCAUCUAUCUAUCUAUCUAUCUAUCUAUCUAUCUAUCUAUCUUUCUAUAGAUUAUAGAUGAUAGCAAGUGAUAAACACAGAGAAUACAGAUAAAAUGUACAUAACCAUGUAGAUGUACAUUAAUCAAGCAUCCUCAAACGAGUUUGUAUUUUCCUAAGGGAUCAAAAUUCAAUAUUGAGAAUACAAAUUGUUCUAUGUUGUACAGUCAUGGUGCCCUAGAAAGCCAUGUCUACAUAAAUAAGUAUGUUAUAUUUGCACUGCAGUAAAAUUUUAUUUGGUAAGAAUGACUAGAUAAAAGUAUCUCGAAUAGUAAAUAUACAGAAAAUUAAUGAGGAAGACUCAACAGUAAAAUAAUGAGGGGGAAAUAGAUCUAGGAACACCAAUAAAGGAUUGUGGGCUUUAAUAAUGAAAAGCUUCCCGUCAGAUCCCAUAAUUAUAAAUUAGUGAUCAUGUGACAGAAAGAUCACAGUAGCUACAAACCAAAACAAAAUAAAACCAAAUAAUCAUCUGCAUACAUGUACACAGGUGCCUGUUUUUUUUCUAUAUAAAUAUAUUGGUACACAUACUAAGAUCUUGUUGACCAAACUUGAGUAGAACAUCACAGAUAUUGAUAAGGCACUCAUUACAUGCUUGUCACAGCUCUUCUUAUAUACAGACAAAUUUAUUUAUUGUGGAAUGAAGGCGGAUGGUAUGUUUCCCUGUCAAUAGCAGAGUUGAUGUUAGAAGUAUCAACCAGGGAUCUGUAAAGACAGGUAGCAGACAUAACAGUGCAAAGUGCUGUGUAAGGAUGCUUAAAGAGAAGCAGGAGGUAGAUCGCCAAAAACGUGGGAGGGCGGAGUUCCAACAAGAGUAGCCAGACAAAACUCCUUGCUUAAGAGCAGUGUAACCUGCACACAACACACAAGGGAUCCAGUGGAGCUGAGGGUUCCAUCUGUCAAAGAUUUUCUGAGACUCCGAAGCAGCACACAAGUAGGUGGAUGAAAACUGCAUAAGCCAUCAGAAGCAUUUUGAAGUAUUCCCCCACCCCACCCCCCAAAAAUAGCAAACACAGAGUGUUUUACAGAGAGUUUUACUUUAAGUUUGUAUGAGUAAAGAGCAGAAUUAGUUCAAAUUAGAUUUCCAUUGCUAAAGGAAGCAUUUCCAUUGUUCUAAACCAAUACUUUCCAAAAAUAUCAUGUUUCUGUUUAGAACGAAAACUAAAAAAAAAAAAAAAAAAAAUCAGAAUUCAGGCUUGGCAUAUGCUAUCCAGAAAUCUGAGAGCUCAAAGCAAUGCAUACAAGCAGCAUACUGUGAUAGGUGACAUUUGUUACACGUUUAUCCAGGGUGUUUGGGGACAGUUUGAAUUCAGAAGCUGGGGACAUCUGCUUUGAAUUUCUGAAGCAAAACCACCAGCUGAUGUUGGAGGAUAGAAACAGAAACAACUGAAUAUAACCCGCGAUGUUUUCCAGGGAUGUGGAUUUUCUGUUUGCAACAGAGUAUGAAUAACUUCAUUUCUCAUGUUGAUUAUAAUCAGAAACUGAAGGCACAUCAUGAGCUAUAUUUAAAGUAUCUUUGGAGCCCAUAUUUCUUUUCCUAGAGUAAUGUUUCAAGUGAGUCAAGUAUUUCCAGCCAUUUUAUUUAAAAAAUGACACACAUCUUUAAUUAAAUAGUUCCAGUGAGCUAUUGAUAAUUUAUUAAAGUUAAUGUAGUAAAUAACACUAAAUGAUUAUCUCAAAAUAUAGAGGCCAUUGUAUUUUGUCCUGCAGGGCUUGGGUCUGAAAACCUGGUUGUUGUUGGAGCCUUGUGUGAGGGAUGAACUAAGAACAGACACAUAGAUAGGUAUACAGAGAAGCCAAAUGGUAUGGUCUCUGCUUGCUCUAAAGGAACACUACGCACUAUGCACAAAACAACAGGAUUGUCUCUUGCAGCGUAUGAGAAGAAGUAAGUUUCUUUUGGUAUGAAGUGCUAGUAGAGGAGUGCCUCAGCCUCAGGGUGCAGUCACCAGGGAGGGGGGAUGCAGUAGUUGAUAGUUCUAGCACAAACUGAUAAACUCUUCUUAAAACCCCAUAAUUGAGAACUGGGAAAUUUCGCAUUAACAUAGAGGAGGGCUUUGCCACUUUCCCUGAAGCUGAGACCACAUGGCUCUGCCCAGGUCAAAGGUACGGAUUCACUCAGCUUUCAUUCAUUUCUUGACUAUCCACUCACCUUGCCUCACCAUGCAGUCAGUUAUUCAAAUGCUGAGGCAGAACAAUAAGAACUUCACUGAUAUGGAAAUGUUGUAUACAAAAUGUAAGGAUUUUCUACAGUUAGCAUCUAACAUCAGAAGAAAUUCUUAUUGUCAAUAUAUACGAUAAAAAUGAACAUUUACUAUACAAAUACCAUUUAUUUAUUUACUAUUUAUUUUUAUUUGUGAGUCUUGUUUUUUCUUCUUCACAUUGAAUGAUACUGAGUGAUAAUAUAUUGAAAACACAUGUAAAUAAAAUAACCAAUUAAUAAAAAAGUCUCUCAUCAUAUUUUCUUGUAUUGUGAGACUUUUAAAUUUUCUUUUGAUUUUGUACUUUCAUAAGUCGAUCCUUUCAUAUAUAGUGCACAUUAUUAUUGUUUGUUAAUGGUCCUUGACUUCAUUUAGGAAGUUAUAAAAAUUAUAGAAUGCCACUAAUCAAUACAAGGAAUAAUUAAGUUUCAUUUUGUUUUAUAAAAGUAACCCAAGAAUGAAGUCAAGGAUGGAGAAAAUAUUCAGACUUGUCCAAAUAUCUGUGGUAAAAUAGAUAAAAUUUUACAUGCUACUUUUAUAUAAAGGGAUAUAUGUGUUUUCCUUAAUACUAAUUCUGGUAAAUUUGAGCCUGAGCGAUGACUCAGAUACUCUGAGUGCAUGCUGCUCUUCUGCCAGACCUGGUUUUGGUCCCCCGGUUCCACAUUAGGCAGCUGACAACUACCUGGAUCUUCAGUUCAUGGAAACUGGCAUAGUAGACUCAGGGAGUACUUAAACACAGGAAGUACAAAUACACUUUUAUAAGCACGCAACAUAUAAAUACAUAAAUACCUUAAAAAACAUUCUAGAAAAAGUACAUACUAACCUACGGAAAACACAGGGUUAUCUAGAUAUUAACUGUAUUGUACACAUAAAGGCAGUAAAAUUAGUUGAUGGAUUGAUUUCAUUCCCAACUGGCAAGAUCUCAUUAAUCUCUGCCUCUCCACAGUGAAAAUAAACUCUCCAAAUAAAUAGAAUGCUCAUUAAUUACAAAGUGAGAAAACACUGAAUCAGCACCUAAAUAUCUGUGAAGGGUUUUGCUGCUUUUGUGAAGACGGUGCAGAUGAAACUAAAAUGGUCAUUGGUGACAAUGUAUCACACAUAAUGAAAAGGACUCUGGACAUAGCUGAUCGUCUUGAAUAUUUACCAAAUACUAUGUGAAUCUCAGAAAUGCACACACUGUGUCUUACAAAAAGAAUUAUCAAGGGGAAAAGUGUAAGCCUCAGCUAGGUUAACAGGAUUCUAUUGUAGUAUAAAGAAGAUAUAAAAAAGAAAAGGCAAUUUCAUUUGAUGUUUUACCCCAUGAAUCAUCUGCCUUUAGUUAAGUAGAAUUUUCAAAAGAUCAUUUAAUUAGAUGCAUUCAAGACUUUGCCAUGUAUCAGGUGAGCUAAUUUUCAGAAGCAUUUGCAUAUAAAAAUUAUAGAAAUUGUUCUUUUCAACAUUGGGAAGAAAUCUAUGCGAAUUUUAUUGCUGAAAGUAAUUACAUCUCUAUGUUCCAAGAUAACAUAUUUAAAUAAUCUGUUAGGGAUUUGGUUUUCAAAUUAAAUUACUGUAACAUUAACAUUGCAGUAUUCAUAUAAAAAUGAAAGUAUCAGAUACUUUAAUUCUAAUCUAAAUCUUUUCUUCCACUCGUCUUUCAGGGAAAUGCAAUAAUAAUUUUUGAACGAAAGAAUAAAACACACCUGAGAAGGUUACACUGAGUUCAUGGGAUAUAGCAAUCUUCGGCGUAAAAGCUUUCUAAAGCCCAUUACUCCAUUCUUUGCUUCUGCUUGCAUAUGUAUGUGACUAUAAAUGCAUAUGUCAUUACAUUGUUCUAAAUUCCACUGGGGCCAAACUUGUCAAGUGUUCAAUUCCACCUGGCUCACAAAAUAAUUUAGGUAAUUGUGUCAUGGUAUAACAGGUACUAUGAUACAUUUGUACAAUUACCAGAACCACAAAUUGAUUAUAUCUAAAAAUGGUCAUGAGGAAAUUGUUUUCCAGAUUAUGAGAAGUGCUUACAAUUGACAUUUGAGAAAAUACCAGGAGACAGCAAUGAACUGCAAGGUUAAUUUUGAACAUCUGUGUAAUCCCAUGUCUGAGUGUUCAUGGUGGGUGGGUUAAAUGAGAUGCAUACCUUCCUCAAUAUUUGAAUUUCAAUUGGAGAGUGCAUUCAGCCACCCAAGUUUUGAUACUAUGCCAAGGACUUUUUGUUUUGUUUUGUUUUGUUUUGUUGUUUUGGAAACUAGUGAUCUGCCCAUUCAUUCUUCACGAGAGAAUCAAAUUUCCGUCUGGAUUUGGAGUUGUUUUGUAUUUUAUGGAUUUUAGUUUUAUGUUAGUAACAUGAAUAAAAGACCUUGAGUAUUUUCUAGCAUUUCUAUAGAUACAUACUCUCGUUUCAAUAAAUACCAGCAGAGAUUUUCAGCAAGUUAUUUUUUGAAUUGCAUCAAUGCAUUGCUGAUUCUUUGUCUACAUAUGUGAGUUCGUUUUCAGAUUAAGUUGUAAAAACAAAGUAAAAUAGGCAGUGGGAUGGAUUCAUUAGGGAAAGGGCCUAAGAAUAAGGCCACCGUUGGCUAGCACAGCAUCCUCCGUGUGAGCAUGAAGCACAUGAACACAGACAAGCAGACUACAGUGUUCUCUUCUCUCCUGUACUGAAAUAAGGACUCGAUUACAAACUGUGUUUUAAGUGUUCUAGAAUGUUAAUCACUUAGUUGUGAAUCAGACAGGGAGAGUGUUCCAUUCUUUCAAAUCGAUAGUUUUUCAAAUGCAUACCUACUUAAUAAUUUUAUGUGCAUGUGUGUAUGCACGAGACUCUGUAUGUGUAUCUUGUGCAGGCAGGAUCUCACCAUGAUCAGAAAAACAUCCCUAGAACUGGAAUUAUGGGUUAAUGUAAACCACCAUGUGGUUUCUAGAAAUCAAUCUAAGUCCUUUGCAAGAGUAGUAAUGUUCUGAAGUCCUUAACCGUCAUUAACCCAACACCAUGAUGCACUAAUUUUUUGGUUGAGACUAUGACCUUACUGUAAACUUACAAAAUGCAUGCGUAUGUAGAUCUCAUAAAGACCAUGUCUUUGCACAUCUGACUGUAACAAUAUUUAUUGUAAUGUUUACAUUAUAUGACUGCGUAUCAGGCUAAUAACAAUACCAAAUCACUAUAAAACCCUAAGUGGGAAUUAUAAUAUAUCUCUCACUUUCUGAUUCCUUGUCACUCUAAUAACUUAUUCUACUAUCUCCAUAAACAAAUAAUUCUUCUUUUAUGUUCUAACUAAAGAGAAAGUCAUCAUGAAGGAUGGCAUGUGGUUUGACUUUGUUGAUUAUUAAAAUUUUGGUUUUGCACUAAAAUUCAUUAUUACAAGGAUUGGAUAUAUUUGAAAGGGAGACUAUUCCAUAAUAAGGUUUUGUAUGAAUUAUUUUGCAAAAUCAUAGUUUCUGAUUCUGAAGCUUAUCUUCUAUCUCUAUAAAUAUGCUCUCUCUCUCCAUAUAUAUAUAUAUACAUACAUAUAUAUAUAUAAAUGUGUGUGUGCAUGUAUCUUAAAGAAUACUUUCUGUUUUUCUUCAUGAACUUUAAGUCAGUACCUGUUUGAAAAUUGUUCUAUUUGUAGAAUGUUGGAAAUAAGAUUCAAAUGAUUUUUUUCUAAAAUUACUUUCACUAAUUGCAUUAUGAAUAUUCUAUGACUCUCCUUGUCUAUAGAUUCACAGUAAAAAGAAAACAUAUUUUUCUUGUUUUUCACAGAAUUGAAAUUAUUUUUAAACAAAUAGUAAAAAAGUAAAUCAAUGUUUUCAGGAAAUCAAAAAUCAGGUGCUUCUUGACUUACCAAGUAAAGACACUUGCUUCUAUCCUGUAGGACUUGAAUUUGAUCCCAAGAAUCUAUAGAGUUAUGGAGUUAAAUGACUCCUACAACUUGCCUUCUGAUCGCCACACACUGCAAUUGGGUAUAUAAACAUAUACACAAAUAAAUAGCUAAUAGAAAAUGGAAUUAUCACUAAAGUGAAAUAUUAAAAACAAUUCAAAUUUCUCCAUGGUUCACACAUUAAGGCUGCCUGUUUUUAGAUACAUGUUUAUAUACCUUUCGAUGUAAUUUGUUAUUCUAUGCUGGAAAUAAAAUCUUAUAAACCAUAUAAUGCUAAAAAUAAUUUCCAGCACAAUUGACAGUUUACUUUUCAUAAGUUAACAUGGAAAAUUAUAUCUUCUCAUUUCAAAGUACUUAAAACGAAUUUUGCAUUGAUUAGCUAACCUUUAUAAGAAUUCUAUUAUUUUAAAAUUGCUGUCAGGGCAUUGUGCUUAGCUUUCUUUUUCUAUAUUGCUUUAUAAGGCAGUUACCAUGACAGGUACUCUGAUGGCUGUUACUCUUUAAUGAUUUCUUUAACUGUAUACAAUCCAUUAACCUUCAUAGCAUUCCUGUGUCACUAUGUAUAUCUUAGCAGUUUGAUCUGUAAGAACUUUUAAUCCAUGUACACAUUCAGGGAGUUUGAAAAUGAAUAAAUAUUGACAUGUGAGUGUAUGUUAAUGCCCUUACAGCAUAAGAGAGACUAAAUAUCUAAAAUAUUUUAGGUUUGCUAACUGCAAUGGCAAGUCUAUAGAAAAGGAUGUUUCUGAAAAUUGAAGGUCUAUACUUUUAUGGCUCCAACACUUAGAGAACAACAUGCUCUGAGAAUGGAAACAGUGUACUGAGAAGUUACAGAAUGCAGGCCAGCUACCUAUAUUCAAGCACAAAAUGAUGCCUGGAUUAACAGACCUAUGUGCAGAUUCUUCCGUAACCAAUUAUGUCUCACGUGUUCUUACACACAUUUAUAACCUUUUCACAAGCUUCAAGGUUACACGUGAACUGUGAUCAGGAGUGUUGAAAAGACACAGUUAACUUGCUUUAAAUUAUUUGUAGUUCUUUAAGUAAUACAUUGAUUCUGAAUACAAGCAAAGUGUAAGAUUCAUCCUAUUGAACAGAAUUUCAGCCAAUAGGCUGGCUCAGUGAAUUAAUGGACUUCCUGUCAAAUCUUACCAUCUAGAUGAACUUGAUGCCUGUGUCUCACUUUAUAGAACAGAGAAUCCUUCAUGCUGUCCUCUGAUAUCCACGCACAUGCUCUUGCAAAAUCAGUUAUUAAAUAAAUAAAUAAAUGAAUAAUGAAUGCAUGUAUACAAACAAUUGAUACUUUUUAAUGAAGUUUCGUUAUUUUAAACAUAUAAUGUAUUUCCAUUGAACGGUAGUGAUAUUAAUGGUUUGGAAGUAGAUAUAUUAGUCAAUAAAUUAUGUGAAAUAUUAAAUACUGAUUCCCAUUAUUCUUCAAAUAUAUUGUGCUAGGGUGAAAGUUCCUCUGGGAUGCCAUGCAACCCCUCAUGAGGUGAGAGUUGUGAAAGCAGUGAAUCUUCCGGGUGUAAAGAUUAAGAUAUAAUGGGUGAAGUAAAUAGUGCACUCUGACAGCUGCCCCUUGACAAAUUUGAAGCUAAAACAGAGCACUUAUUUCCAAAGCUUAAAACUGCCUAGAUGUACUUCUUCUAUAUGUGUGUGGGGAAUGCCAGGAGUAAUUGGGAAGACUCUGAUGUGUGUAAAUUUCUUACUGUAGUGCUAAGGAAUUGACCAGCACUCAAAGUGUGAUGUGCAUUAUGACAAAUAGACACAAGUAAAUUAACUAUCUAUGUCCAUAAAUAUGAAAGUAUACACAAAAGACUUUGAACAAGAGUUAAAUUAUUUGGUGCCAAAGCUAUAAUAAAGUGUAGGUAUUCUCAAUCCAGUUUUUACCACUCUGAAGAUAGAUGAGGAACUAGGGUAUUUGGUAUGUUAGGUCACUUUUUGACUGCUACAGGAUUAAAUUCUGCUCUCUCAGUAGACAUAGUAGACACCAUGGUGACCAUUAUGAUGGCUCUUCUCAGUUGCCUACUUGGCUAUCUGGAAUGAACUACAAUCAAGGAAUGGGGAGCACACUAGUGAUCUAGAUCAUGAGACAGAAAAGCAUGUUUUGGUAUAGAUCUUGAGACUGGAAGACAAAGUUUUUGAUCCAGAUACUGGAGAGAGUUCACUGGCGGAAACACUGACUGUUCUUUCAUAGAGUCACCUGACAGAACUUCUAGCAAAAUAGCUUUAUGAGGCUGCAUUCAGAGCUUCCAAAAGAUAGGAAAGCGUUGAGCAUCAGAAGGCAGUUGGAGGAAUCUGCACACGAACAGUGAAUGGGACUGUGAGCCAGCUGGAGUCGUGACCAGACAUCCAGCAGAAUUCCAUCUGGACCGGGCACAGGAACUCCUCUGCAGUCUGGGCACCAGGAAGCGUUCCCUGGUUUCUUCCUAGUCUGGUUCUCUGGCUGUCACCUCUCUCCUCUGACCAACAGUCUGUUCCAUAUUUGACCUGCUCUGAUUUCUGGCUCUGACUCCUGGAUGUGGCCUUGUUGCCAUGACUACCAGUCCAGGGUUUUGACUCAGCUUGGCUUCUGCUUGCAGUUUCUGAUCACACACAGCCGGGUGCUCAGUUUCUAGUUUUGGCUCCACGUAUCAGUAUUUUCCGCUGGCUCUAGCCCCUUAACGUCCUUAGUCUCACCCUUUGAUUUCUGAUGUCUAAGUCCAAGGUCUCAGAAACAUGUCUGAAGGAGACACUAUUCUAGUAUCUCACAACAACAUAGAAAUUAGAGUUCCGAUUUUCCAUUUAUUUAUUCUUGUGUGAAUGACACAAGCAUUAGUCUAAAUAAAUAUGCUUCAGUUGGAAAAUCACAUCCAACAUAAAUAAUGGGAAACCAUUUGUACAAGGACAGUCGUAGGCUUUCAAUGCCGAGGCGCCCAUUACACUCUGCAACUUCUUCUGUUUCUUCCACAACAAAGACUGCAAAACACAAAGCCACAGAAAUCCAGGGGUGAUCAAAAUGAUACGCGGCAGGAACUCGUACGACGCCCUUUGGCAUUGCCAUGGCUCCUGAUGAAUUAAUAGACUUUGGACAGAAAAACUGAGAUUUUAAGUGUAACUAACAGGAUGAGAAAACAAGGAGAAAGGUGUUGAAUUAUCAGCUUAUCAAGAGUCAUCAAGAAAGUGGUUAGAUAUCCAUUCUCUCUCUCUCUCUCUCUCUCUCUCUCUCUCUCUCUCUCUCUCUCUCUCUCUCUCUCUGUGUGUGUGUGUGUGUGUGUUAUCCACAAAAAGAUCCAAAAAUUUGUGAAUGAGCUACAUUAUGGAGGCAUGAACAAGACAAAUUUACCCAUCACUUGGAAGAGUUCCAUUUUGAUGGUUUUGAAGAGAGAUUUAAAGUGGAUAUUGAAAGUACGGGAGGGAGCUUUUACAAAUAUUGAGGAUAAGAACACCCGAUAAAAGUAAUAAAUAGUUAAUAUGGGAGAGAUGGAGAGGAGAAAAGAAUGCACAGAGUAGACAUGUUUGAAGAUAAAAUAUUUACAGAACGCCUGCCUCUGAGAACUCAUCAUCAUUCUAGGGUUAACUAACUGAAUCAGAACUAAAAGGAAAUCUUUCUUGAAGUCUUAGAGGGAUUUGAUCAUCAAGAACUUUGUUCCCAAACUUAGUAGUGAAUCACAGACACUGGAACAGAUUCCAAAUUCUUAUUCAUGUUUAGCAAUAGCACAUGGGCUGUUUCUUUUUUAAUUUUUAAAAAUUGUGGACACAGCGGUGAGCCACUAGUAAAGGAACUAGAAGUUGCUGAGUGUAGGAAACUGCAUUUAUUAAUAGCUACUAAUACAGUUUCUACCUAUGUUAUUUUUAUGCUAUGCUAAUGAAAAACCAAAUAAAACCAAUGCCUUAUUUCUCCCUAUCUUGACACAGGUACGAGGAUGAACUCUAAACACAACAAUUAAUACAUGCGUGCACACAUUAUUUAGAAGGAAAUUUCAGUAGAACAAGUCUUGAGCGUAAUUAGUUCCCUUUUCUGAUUUGUUAAUGGAUUAUGCUUGGUUUAUGAUUAUAGAGGUAUGCUAUGUAAUUCUAUGUGGCUGACGGGCCAGUGAACCCCAUCCCACAGUUGUCAGCCUGGAUGGCUUCAGUAUGUCCUGCUAGCAGAAUUAUAGUUGAAAGUCUGUGGUUCUUUUUUUAUCUUGCUCCAAGCUCCAUGGUGCUCAGCCAACCAAGGAGCUCCAAUUGCCUUCAGAGAUGACUCUCCACUCGAAUGAGCACUGUGGGGUGUAGAGUUAGACGAGAGUCUGGCCUCAAGUAAGAAGAUUUAACAUAUGCCUCUUUUUAGAUCAGAUCCUAUCUAAACAGGAGUUUCUGAAAUCUUAAAGCAUGUGUACAAUUCUCAUUUCCAAUAGUACAUAACCCAGAGUGAACUUUAUACAUAAAAGAGACAAUAUAGAAAUGUAAGGAUCGUUAAUAGGGUGAAUAGGUCAGAUUACUUGCACGUAAAUUAAACAGUCAUAAAAUGAUUCUUUUAAAAAUGGAAUUAGCAUUAGAGAAGAUAGCCCACUCUCUUAUGUUAGCGAAGGUGGUUCCAUGUUUGUUGAAAUUUCAGUGUUUAUUCCUUCAGUUUCUGGGUGUCACUCACUACCAAAAAUGAUAAUAUAUUCUCUAUUUCCCCAAGGCCUUCUAAGGCAGUAUUAAUUCAGUGGCAUUUUUCUCUUAUGCUGUCAGAUUCUGACCAGAUUUUUUUCUCAUGACAUUUGGAAGGAUCCUGCUGUCUUCUGAGCUGCAAAGUAAUAUCCGAAGAAGUUUCUUUUAUUUAUUUAUGUUUUUAUUUGUUGCUUUUGAUAAACAUGCACCUUUUUUAAUGUAACUUUUUAAUUUCCUGAGACAUCAACUUUUUAGUAGCAUAAGUGAAACGUAUUAGAAAUUAUGAAAUAUAACAAAAAAUGACACUUGGUACAAUAACCUAUUUAGGGACGAGACAUUUUUCUUCUAUGGUUAUGUUCCUGUGCAAUCUUUAGGCUAUUAUUCUCCUAUCAGAAAACUAAUUUUCAUUGUUACGAAAAUUGAAAAAGAUGACAUUAAUUUUUCAGGUAUCACUACAAAUACAGCGUAGCUGUAUUUUUAAAUUUAACCUCUAAGUAAAUACUUGUACUCUAGGGUUCAACUAUAGUCUAGAAUGAAACUAUUGCUUUUCAAAAUUGAAUCUGCUGGUAAUCAUCUUUCUCAUAGUUAAAGCUCACACAAAUGCCCAAAUAUUACGAAACUAAAGCAUGAAUAUCUGACCUCCUUGUUUUCUUCUAUUUGCCACGGAAUAGUUUUUAUACAAAGAUCAAACUAGACCACAUACGAAGCUGAUCUUCAGCCUAUUGGUCUUUUCUUAUCACUUCUUCAAGUUUCUCCUCGGUCUGACCAUUGUAAAUCCUCUGGAUAUGCCACUGUGCAGUAUAUCAGACCAUCAUGAUGACCACACUAAUUUCCUGAAUGAAAAUGGGACGAAACUAUUUUAAGAUUGACUUGAAUUAUAAAAUCCAAAAGACAGUACAUGUUAGCUAUUUUCAAAAGUAUUAGAACCCAGAACUAUGUGAUUCGGUGUAUAAAACAAUCGCAAAUGUCUUUCCCCCAAAGAUGUUACACUCCUCACUGUACGAAGCUUUGAAGUUUGUCAGAGAUGCAGUCCGCAGGGAAGCUUUGUCUCUCAGUGUCCAUUUAUGCACCAAUGCGUGUGCUUAUUUGGAUUAUAUUAAAACUAACUGUAUCUGCAUGUGAAGAAAACUGCGAACAAGUUUUAUCACUCUUUUUUUCCCUAAUGUUUCCAUUUCAGUUGGCAGCCAAUUAUGGCCUAUGACUUGGCUCAACCAUGCUUUCAUGGUCUAACCCAAAUAAACAAGGGCAAACCUCAGGGGAGCUCUCAGUGGUAAGCAAUUUUAAUUAGCAAAUGAUCCUGAAGAUGCACAUUCAAAACAAAAUAUUACUCAGCAAACAAUAUUGGUGCCGCCAGGAAAGGUUGUGUUCACAGCUUGUGAAAGUGCAGGGAGCUUUAGGGAAGAGCUGGUGAGGGGUAAUGAGAAGUGUCACUUAAAGUUAGUUCCUGGAUCUAAGAUCAAAGUGAAGGACACUCAUCCUCCUGACACAAGCACUCAAAUCAAAGUGUCAGGCUUCAGAGUUAUCUCAAUUCCACAGUUUCUAAGAGGAAAAGAAAAAAAAGAUUCACUUGGAGUGAAUUAUUUCUCUAAGAAAUAAGAUUCUUCAUCUGUAAAUACUCAGUCAUUAAAGGAAAUGGAAAAUGGGCAUGAUUGGGAUGAAACAAUGAUUGUAUCAUCAAAAAGGAUCACUGAUGGAAAUUUUAUUUUCAGUCCUGAGUUCACCUGCCUGAAUUUUGAUUCACCUUUCCUUAUAUCCUCACUAUUAGUUUAAAUCAUUCAUUUCUUUUUUUUAUUUUACAUUUCUUUGGUCAUUUAUAGUUCUCUACUAAUAUCACAUUGAGCAUAAUAGAUUACUAAGUGUAUUUCUGGCAAACACACCUGAAAUAUUUGCUCAGAAACACUUUGUAAGAGUAACUCCACCUAGGUGUAAGAACAAAGGGACAAUAUCACACAGUCUCUCCUGUCCUGGUGUAACAGAAUACCUGAGACAGGAUAACUUAUUAACAAAGCAAGAGAGAGAGAGAAAGAGAGAUUUAUGUCUUAACAUAUCUGAAGGCUGGGAAGUCCAAGAUCAAAAGGCUCAUGGUAAGAGGUUUCUUGCUGGGCCAUCCCAUGGUGAAAGGCAGAAGGGCAGGAGAGCUCAACACAGCACAAGAGGUUUAACAAAUUCCUGUCAUUCCUUAUAAUCAUUAAUUCAUUCAUGACAGUGGAGCCCACAUGCCUUACACUCCUUGACAGUCCUCAAUUCCCAGUAUGGCUGCAGUGAAGAAUAAAUUUUGUUACAUUCUUUUCGUGUUCACUGUCAAGAAACUUCAGACAUUAGACAAGAAUUAUCAUUUUUUUCAAAUAAGUUUUUCACAUGAAUGCGUUGAAUAUUUGAUGUUGAGCAUAACAGAUAGAUUAGUAACUAUAAUCAGGUAGUUAAGCCCAUUAUCCAAAGGCUAAUAUCCACCUUACACUGUCUUCUUAGAUCACCUUGCAUAAAUGUUGACUCAGAAAUUACCUCAGGAGAAGUGUCAAAAAAUCAAAGUCUUAGCUCAUGUGCUAUAAAUAGACAAGACAACUCUUUCUCUAUAUGUAGUAAACAUUCACAUACAAUAAACAUCCUCUCUCUUUCCCAUGGAAACCUCACUGUUCUGUAAUGUUCUCUUUGUUCAGUAUUCUCAUAUAAUUUAAGCCUCAAUGAAUGGUGAUUCAUUUAAUUGUAUGCUGUGGUGUUAUGGUGUUGAGUAACCAUGUUUCCAAUUCACAAAGAAAUGCUAAGUGACUAGGUUGGAGCAUAGGAUUCACCUGGCUAAAAGUCUAACAGAUAUUUAAAUAUUUGUGUUUAGAAAGUAUAUUUAGGAUCCACCAACAAGCAACAUUUUGGCAUCCUGAGUAGUGUACUAUGAACUGGAUAGUUAUUUAUUGUACUCGUGUUUUUUUUUUUUUUUGUUUGUUUUUUUUUGAGACUUGCCUAGUCACUAUUUCUACAUAACACUAUAACAAAAUCCAUAUACACUGUCCACAUCAGCUCUCCCACCUUUGUGAAAAGACACACUGCACUUUAGUCCUUGAAUAGUUGCAAUUAGGCUGAGAACAGAAAAGAGAUACAGGAAGAGCACAGAGGGGUCAAAGGUGGUGCAGAAGCAACAAUGGAAGUAGAUUUAAAAAAAAACAAAGAAAAAAUAGGGAAAUGAAGCAGUAUUGAUGUACCUUAAAACUAAUGGAGAAAAUAAAGACAUUCUACCAAACAGUCAAACCUCUUUCUUGACAAAGAUAGUAAUAAAUACGAGAAUAGAGGGAGAACCUGCAAACAACUGCACGUGAUUAUCAGUGUUGCUAAAAGCCUGCUCUCAAAGUUGUUUUUCUACAGUGGAGCCAUGCUCCCCCAUAAAGUACAAAAUGCAAACUUAUUAUUGGGUUUGGCAGGUCUGACUGCGUUGUGCCUUGUUUUGGAUGGUCAGUGUAUGUAGAACGCAAGCCACUGGGACUAAAAGUCUAUGACUUGAUCAAUAGCUAUUGAACACUGUCUUAAUAUCAGGAAUAUAUUUAACAGCAAAACAAACAUGAGCCUGUGAAGGUAGUGCUUUAACAAAUAUUAGAAAAGUAUGCAACAUGUCAUUGCACAAACCAUUUAUCAUCUACAUUUUUAGGUUGUACAAUUUUUGUUAUUUUCUACAUUAUUGAUGAUUUUAAUUUCAUUGCUUUGUAAACGUAGAGUCUGCAAGCUUAUAACAACAAAAAAAAUGACUUGGGACCCAGAAAAUUGGUAGUACAAAUUAGAGCUUCUGAUUUGUUACUGAAACCUGAGUGUAAUACCUCCUUUGCUAUAAAGAGAUUUAAUAUUACAAUAAUUUUUAUGAAUAUGACAUUAAAGAUAAGAUUGAUAGUGAAUUGAGAAGAAACUAGUAUUUUUCUAAAUGUUAUUACGAAUAUUUUUGGUUAUUAGUAUACUAGUGUUUUGCCAGAAUAGUGAAGCCACAGAUUUUAAAAGUAAAUAGCAUCGUUAUUUAAACAAACAUUAAGUAAGUAUACUGGUAAAUUACAACAUAAUGCUUUCUGGUCAUGUUGUUUAUAUGGCAUAUCCCGAGUCAAGAUUGUAUGUAUACAUUUUCAAGAAUAUGCUAUGAAUAAACAAAUAGCUAUUUAACUCAGUUUCAUGAGACUUAAUGAUUUAGGCAUUUUAAGUGUGAAAGUAAUUCAUGUUAAUGAUAUAGAAAAAAUAUAAGAAUGAUUACUAUACAUAUACACAUUCAUGUAUGCAUUGGGGAUGAGCAAGAACAUAAAAAUUAAAUUAACCAAUAAACGAUAAUGGCUAAAUAUCACCUUAGGAUAGCUUAUUCUGUAGUAUAAGCAAUGGUCUGUAACCAAUGAAUAAAUAAUCUUUAAAUACUAAAUGUACCUCAUAAGCUAAACUAAAUGUGUUUUUAUUUCAACCAUGGAAAUUGAAAUAAAUAUUGGAAGAAAUACAUAGACAUUAAGUAUAUAUUAAAGCAAUAGUGGUUUGUUUCUUGUGUUCCUCAUUACUUUUAAGUGAGAAAAAGUUUAUUUCUAAUUGUAUCGUGUGCUAUUGGUACCAUUCAAACAAUUUACAGAAUGUGCUCUUCGUUGUUAGUAUAUGAUGGCCAAUAAUGAGAACAAACUCAAGCCAUCGAAAAGAAAGUAAUGAAAUCUCUCCAAGUGGAGGAUUCUUGAUCGGUUUCCUUUUUUUAUGGAAUGUCUCCAUUAGGAUUGUUAUUGUUGUAGUAAAACAUCAUCAUAAAAAGCAAUUUGGGAAGGGUUUAUUUCUGCUUAUAGUUCAUAGUCCAUCAUGAAGAGGAAUCUGAGCAGGAAUUUAAGUCAGAAUCCUAGAGGUAGGAUUGAAAAAGAAACCAUGGAGGAAUGCUAUUUCCUGGCUUGAUCCUCAUGGCUUGCUUAGCCUGUCUUCUUGUACCAUUCAGGACCAUCAACUAUAGUUUGGACCCUCCCAAAUCAAUACAUAAUUAAGGAAAAGCACUUUAGAAUUGCCCACAGGCCAAUGCUGUGGGGGCAUUUUCUCAAUGGAUACUCCUUCAUCCCAUACUUGUUUAUCUUUGAUAAAGUCAAAACCUGCCAACACAUGUAACAGUUGGAAUGUUGAUCAUCAAGUUUAUAAGUAGCAUCACACUAGACAAGCAUUUCAUACAAAAUAAUGAUACUUAGUGGUCAAAACUUGCCAUUAAGUGUACCACUCGUUUCCUACCUCCACCAACAUGACCAGUUAUUUUAACACACAUUUCAAGGGUUCUCAGGAUAUAAUUCGCAUGAACACACCCUUAUGUGUAUACAUACCACAUGUAUACUGGACUAUAAAGGGACUUUUGAGUUACUAGAUUUCAAAUUUUCACUAGAAUGUUGCAGGGUGAUAAAAAAUUGUGUAAAGUCACUUUGGGGUCAGAAAUAGCAUGAAUGUUAUUCUGGUAAAUUUACCCCUGUGAUGUAAUUUGGGUCACCAAGGGCUCCGUGGUGCCUGCCAGUCUCUUUUUUGUUCUCCCUUUGGCAUCCUUCCUGAAAUGCUUGAGAUCCCAGCUUUGAGGGAAUCCCUUAAGACUGAGUGACUUUGCGAGCCCGUGGCCAGAUGCCAGGUGUGCCUUCCUUUCAUUUGUAUUAGCCCUUCACAGGAAAACAACAGAUGUUGUGGUGGCUCAGGGAGAGCUGUUUACACAAGGAGAAGCUAAAGGAGAGUUCAUUGAAAUCUGAAGUGAUACACACAGGGGACCUCAGUCUUCCAGAACUUGUUUGGAACUGAGAUAGAACAGAAACUUGAGUAACUUGUGUGUCGCAUUUUUAGAUUCAUUGAUCUCUAUCUACGUUAUUCUGAACCCUGAGGCAUCUUAAUGAAUUCUAAAAUGGAUUGCCUUGUAGUCCAGGCAAACAAGUAUAAUUCAAUUGCACACAGGGUUUUGCUUGAGGAAGCUCAUAGCUGAGGCGCUCUGCUCUUGAUUUUGUUCUCGCUCUGACUUGCUCUUCAACUGGAAAGGCUAGUUCUGCUUUGUAGUAUUCUUCAAAUAUUCAAAUGUUUUUGUUUCUCUGAAUUCAGGCAUAAAAAAUCAGUAGCAAGGAUCUUGGAAAUCUCUCAGCAAAUGAUCAGAUCUGCUAUUUACUGGGUUCCUUCUGGUCCAAGAACUUUCAACAGUGAACAUAAUGAUCAUUAAAAAUUACACUUGUAAUUUUAUAUAUAUUCCCCCAUUUUUUGCCCUAAUAAGCUAUGAAUUAAUAAUUCUAAAAGUAUUCAUUCUUCGAAGCUCUAUUCAAAGAGGAUGUGGGGGGAUAUGAAAAUUGCCCUACCAAUGUUCUUGAAGACUGUAUGUGACAUUAAAUGAAUGAAAAACAUACCCGGCAAUGACUUCUGUGGUAUAAGACUGACAUUAAGACAGGUAUUAAAGGGAGAAAAAAAUUCAUUAGCUUUCAGAGGAAAUCGGUAGAGCUCAUGUUUUUCUUUAGGAGAGAACAAAGUGCCUAACCAAAUUUGUUUUUCAAAGAGUAUCCCAAACGCAAGGAGCAGGGGGCAUUUCUAAUUAUAAUGUAAUCUCAGACUCCUGUGAUUGUGUGUUAACUCUACUGAAUAUGGAAAUUUGAAGUCUUCUCCUUUAAUUAACUCAAUUCACCAGCUUUGGGAUGGACAGGCUCCUCACUGCUAAGCUUUAGUAGUACUGUGUGAAGACAGUAGGUCAGCACGGGCCUUCACUACUGUGCUUCUGUGCACUACUGCCUUUGUUCAAUAACAGGUCCCAGCAAGGAAACAGCCUGCUGAUAAGCACUUUGCAUUGAUUUUUUUACUGUUUUCUUCUUUUCUCUCCCCUUUAAAAACCUUUCAUUUGUUUUGCCAACAUGCCUGCAUUUUUGGCACACCUGCUUUCUUCCUUAGACAGUGUUAGUUCUCUCAGAAUCAAUUGCGAGCAGCUUGCAACCAAAUGCCUGAUUAAAAAGUUAGCAGACCUUGAGUGCAAUUACUUCAGCUCUAUAGCACUCAGGCAUUAAACCCGGUGUUAAUUGUUUCCCAUUUUUGUAACGAUCCUUAUAAUAGGAUAAAAACAGAAGAGAUCAUUUCUUCCAGUUAAAGCAGCAGAAAAUGAAGACAUUCAUUCUGAUUAAUCAUUGUAAUAUGAAAUUAAAUGCAAUUAGGAGUAAAUACAUUUGAGAAUGUUUUUGGAUUCUAGCAGAAGCCACAUCAGCUCCGGUCUGUCAAAAUAUCUAUAAAUUAUUAUUUCAGCAAAUUGUAAUCUAUGAAAAUGCUUUAUGUAAGAAAUAACCAUUAUAAUGAAUUUUAGAAUUUUGGUAUUGUUCCUGAGAUCUAUUUUCUCUAAGGCUUGUCAUAGAUGUAUAUUAACAAUGUAUUGUUUAUGUCUUAAAUAUCUUCUAUACUGUAAGUUUCAGAGUCAAUUUGCUAAAUAUUCUAAGAAAGUAAUAGUCUAUAGAGUCAAGAAACAUGCAUGAAAAUAAUAUUCUAACAAUAAUCUCAUUGUUGAAAACAAUCCUUGAAAUUGAAUCACAUGAAGGAAGGAGGAGAUGAAGUUCUACCUCUAGUUGUCUCACUGCUAACAAUCCUACCCCUGGAUGGGGAGUAAAUGACAACUGAUAGCUGCUAAAAGAGAGACCUCCUCUUCCUCCUCCUCCCCCUCCUCCUAUCUUCCUCCUUCUCCUCCUCCUUCUCCUCUUCCUCUUCCUUCUCCUCCUCCUCCUCCUCCUUCUCUUCCUCUUCCUCCUCCUCCUUCUCCUCUUCUCCUCUUCCUCUUCUUCAUUUUUUUUUUGCUUUUGACUUUAUUUUGUGGUUUAUUAGUAGACCUUGAUAUUUUUUAAUUGGAUAUUUCUAUUUACAUUUCAAAUCUUAUCCCCCUUUCCCAGUUUCCCAUACAUAAAUUCCCUAUCCCAUGCCUCCUCUCCCUUCUUCUAUGAGGAUGUAUAUGAGGGUGUUUUGUUGUACUUUUGGGGUUGCAAACCUCGUCAGCUCCUUCAAUCCUUUCUCUAACUCCUCCAGUGGGGAUCCUGUUCUCCAUUAAAUGGUUGGCUGCAAGCAUCUGCCUCUGUAUUUGUCAUUCUCUGGAAGAGUCUCUCAGGAGACAGGUAUAUCAUGUUCCUAUCAGCAUGCAUGUUUGGCAUCAGCAAUAUUGUCUGGGUUAGGUGGCUGUAUGUGUAUGGGCUGGAUCCACAGGUGGGCCUUUCCUUCAGUCCCUGCUCCACUCUGUCUCUGUAUCUCCUAUUCAUAUUUUUGUUCUCCCUUCUAAGAAGGACUGAAACAUCCGCACUUUGGUCAUCCUUCUUGAGCUUCAAGUGGUCUGUGGAUUGUAUAAUUGGGUAAUCUGAGCUUUUAGGCUAAUAUCCACCAGUGAAUGCAUACCAUGUGUGUGUCUGGUGGUUUCUUUAAUUUGUUUGUUUUUGUUUUUGUUGUUGUUAUUGUUAUUGAGUUACCUCACUCAGGAUGAUAUUUUCUAAUUCCACCCAUUUGUCUAUGAAUUUCAUUUCAUGAAGUCAUUGUUUUUAAUAACUAAGUAGUAUUCUAUUGGGUAAAUGUACCACAUUUUCUAUAUCCAUUCUUCUCUUAAGUGACACCUAGUUCUUUCCAGCUUCUGGCUAUUAUAAAUUAGAUUGCUAUGAGCAUAGUGGAGCAUGUGUCCUGCCUACAUGUUGUAACAUGUUUUGGGUAAAUGCCCAGGAGUGGGUCCUCAGGUAGUAAGUAGCACAUCUUUUCAGAGGAACCUCCAUACUGAUUUCCAGAGUGGUUGUACCAGCUUAUAAUCCCACCAACAAUGGAACAGUGUUCCUCUUUCUCCAUAUCAUUACCAGCAUCUUUAGUCAGCUGAGUUUUUUAUCUUAGCCAUUCUGACUGGUGUGAGGUAGAUACUCAGGGUUGUUUUGAUUUCCUUUUCCCUGAUGACUUAGGGUGUUGAACAUUUCUUUAGGUACUUCUCAGCCACUUGAUAUUCCUCAGCUGAGAAUUCUUUGUUUAGCUCUGAUCCCAAUUUUUAAUAGGGUUACAGAGACUGUAAUCUAACUUCUUCAAUUCUUUGUAUAUAUUGGAUAUUACCCCUCUACUGGAUAUAGGAGUGGUAAAGAUCUUUUCCCAAUAUGUUGGUUGCCAUUUCUUCUUAAUGACAGUGUACUUUGCAUAACAGAAACCUUGAAAUUUUAUGAAGUCCCACUUGUCGAAUCUUGAUCUUAGAUCAUAAGCCAUUGGUCCUCUGCUCAGGAAAAUUUCCCUAGUGCCCAUGUACUCAAGGUUCUUCUCCACUUUUUCUUCUAUUACUUUGAGUGUAUCUGGUUUUAUGGGAAGGUCCUUGAUUCACUUGGAUUUAAAUUUUGAACAGUGCAAUAAAAAUGGAUCAAUUUGCAUUCUUCUGCAUGCUGACCUCCAGUUGAACCAGCACCAAUAGUUGAAAAUGCUAUCUUUUUUCUACUGGAUGGUUUUAGCUCCUUUGUCAAAGAUCAAGGGAACAUAGGUGUGUGGCAUCAUUUCUGGGUCUUCAGUUCUAUUCCAUUGAUCUACCUGCCUGUCUCUGCACCAAUACCAUACACUUUUUUUAAUCACUAUUGCUCUGUAAUACAGUUUGAGGUCAGGGAUGGUGAUUCCCCCAGAAGUUCUUUUAUUGUUGAACAUAGUUUUCACUUUCCUGGGUUUUUUUGUUAUUCCAAAAGAAUUUGCGAAUUUCUCUUUUGUACUCUGUGAAGUAUUGAGUUUAAAUUUUGAUGGGGAGUGCAUUGAAUUAUAGAUUGCUUUUGGCAAAAGGGUCAUUUUUACAAUAUUAAUCCCACCAAUCCAUGAGAAUGGGAGAUCUUUCCAUCUUCUGAGAUCUUCUUCAAUUACUUUCUUCAGAGACUUGAAGUUCUUGUCAUACAGAUCUUUCACUUGCUUGGUUAAAGUCACACCGAGGUGUUUUUAUAUUAUUUGUGACUAUUGUGAAGAGUGUCAUUUCCCUAAUUUGUUUAUCAGCCUGUUUAUCCUUUGAGUAGAGGAAGGCUACUGAUUUGUUUGAGUUUAUUUAUGGCCAGUCACUUCGUUGAAGUUUUUUGAAUAUCAUGUUUAGGAGUUCUGUGGUGGAACUUUUGGGGUCACUUAAGUGUACGAUCAUAUCAUCUGCAAAUAGUGAUAUUUUGACUUCUUCCUUUCUAAUUUGUACCCCUUUGACCUCUUUCAUUGUCUGAUUGGCUAGGACUUCAAGUACUAUAUUGAAUAGAUGGGGAGAGAGUGGGCAGUCUUGUCUAGUCCCUGAUUUUAGUGGAAUUUCUUCAAGUUUCUCUCCAUUUAGUUUUAUGUUGGCUACUGGUUACAUGCAUAUUGCUUUUACUAUGUUAAUCUUCUUUUCAUACAGCCUCUGAUAGAUAAACAGUGCUCCAGUGAAAGACCACAAAUCCAAGAAUGAACAGGCAGCAUGAACUAGAAUUCAUGUUUCAGAAAAAUCUAUAGCUCUGUGAAUACUGUGGAUAGAGAAGGAUGGUAGAUCUCAGGGGGAGUUAAAAGAGGGGUUUUAUAAGAUCAAGGCACAUUUAUUCAAAACAUGAAUAAAAUUUAAUAAUAAUUUUUCAUGUGAGAAUAACUUUUUUUCUAGUUCACAAUCUGUAUAUUUUUAGUCUACUUUAUUUUGUCCUUGAUCAAGAAAUGAAGCCCAUCAUCUGUCACAGUUUACCCAUUGAGCUGAAACUUCUGGUCCCAAUUUUCUUCAUGUAUGAUUUUAUAAUAAUUAAGGUACAAUAAACACAAGCUGUCAACUUUCAUAGGAUAUCUUAGAGGAAACCUCAAGUAUCAUUAUUAAGCACCUGGAAUUAUUAAUCACAAAAGGCAAAGACCACUACAUGGCUUAUAUUUACAUUUAUUCAAGUAGAUACAGAAAAAUAUAUUUUUGCAAUGAAUUAUGAACAAUUAGCAUUAUUUAUUGUAACAAUCCAGUGCAAACUUGGUAGUCAUACAUUAUUGGCCAUUUUCUUUAUUUGAAGAGUUUUCUAGACAGCUUGAAUAUCAAGUGUUAAGUUUGGUGGUACUUGAAGUUUCUCCUUCAUAGCUUCAACUACAUGUGUAAUUACUUGUUCCAUUUCAUUUAACUUCCUGGACGAAAGCCUAUGAGUGGAAUGACUGCUCCUCAGUAUCAUAAAGAGUCCCUGAGAGAAAGCGGGUUAAUGUUUUUGUUCAGAAACUGAAUAAAAACUCUAGAAAAGCUCUUGACUUAUCCUGAACCCUCUUCUCUUGUCCAGGCAUGAAAGAAACACAUAUACCACAAGAUGAAGUUUUGGACAACACUUAACACACACACACACACACAAACACUCACUCACACUCACACACACACACACUCACACACACUCACACACACGAAGUUAUUGGAGCAGGUAAUAGAAAAUGAACAAUACCUAUAUAUCAGAGGUAGUUUAGAGCGAGAUCUGAAAGGAACCUUUUCCAUGUUUAAAAGCUCCACAAUAGUUUUGAAGCCAAAACCCUUCAGCUUUAAAAGGUGUUUUAUGGUUCCUUGAGAGUGAGAUUCAUUGGCAUUAAGACUCUUUAACAAAUCAAUGAUAAAAUAAAGAAACAAUCAAAUGAUGUUCUUACACACUUAAAAGCAGCAUCUUUUAUAAGAAGUUAGAGAUUAUAGUGAGUUAGACAGUGCUAGGCCAUCCUUUUGGUUUUGUUAUCUGUGCCUGCGGUUGGAGAGGCUCAGACAGGUUCUGUAGCUGGGAUCUGAUGCCCAACAGAUGAUAGCUUCAAGGAAGCAGCUGACCCUGAUGCACUUCCAAGGUGACAAGAUGUAGGAGAGAUAUUGAUCCUGAUCAUGGAUAGUCACAUGUGUGUGUAUGUAUACAUGCACAAACUUGUAUGAUAGUUUUAUUACAUGCUUGUGUAUGUUUAAAAGUAAGCAUGCAUGUAUAUAUCUAUAUGUAUAUGUAUACAUGUAAAUAUGUACAUAUAUAUAAUCUUUUUGAAAUGUAUAAGAUGAAGUAAGUAGAAACACUUCAUAAAAUAAGGACAUAAAGGAAAAAGAUUUAGUACUUAGCUAUAUUCUGUACUUAGCUGUUAAGAGCUUAGGUGAGUGUAACAUUAAUUAAAAUUAUGAAGUACAUAAUUUUGAAUCAGAGUAAAGCACAUUUGUUAUCAAAGAAAGAGAUAUUAGUAGAUUGAUGUAGAUAAAACACUCAGUAAUUAUAUAGUUGAUAACAGUGUUCAGUCAACUUGGCCAUCUUAUUCAGUUAGUACUAGUAGACUUGUUUAAAGCUAACUCCAAUAUGUGCUCCUAGGGAGUGUCCUAUGACCAUGAUGCAUUUUUCUAUACAUUUUUGGUGCACAUUUCUAUGCUUAGACUCACUAAUACUUAGCAUUAUACUGGAUAUCUCUACAGUAUUCAGUGGAAACCAUUUAUAUGAGUUUGUAACCUUGGAGCAGGAAGCUGUACAAUGUAGUCCAUAAUUGUUAUGGGCUGCACAACUUUGGUUCCUAAAAUACAUGGAGUAUGUUUGAAUGAGGAUGAGCUACCUAGUGACAAGUUUUUAUUUUGCAUUAUUAUGAUCAUGUAACUCAUGACUUUAUAUUAAAAACCAUUCUAAUUCAGAUUUUACAGACAUUCUGCUGAUAGAGUUUCAGAGAUACCUGUCCAGGGAAGAAUGAAAACUUAAAUCAUUUUCUCCUGGAUAUAAUUGAGAACAGAGUAAUGCAAUUAGAUGACAAAUUAAUGUAGAAUUUUAUAAAAAAAUUAUAAAUUAGAACAUAAAUUACUAAAAUGCGUAUGAAUCCUUAGUUGUAAGCAUACUUCCUACUUCAGGAGUAAUCUCUCUUUUAUGACAAAUUUCAAAGAAAUUAUAUGUAUAGGUAUAUGCAAAGAUGGGGUUAUAAGAUCACAUUAUUGUGGUAAAAAUACUAUUUUUCUAUCACAGUCUCUUAGGAACACUUACUGAUUCACAGACAUAUUUGUUCAGUUAUCACUCAAACGGCAGGUCUGUUGCAAAUCUCAUAGAUUUCCAUAUCUAUGAAAGUUCAGGACACAACUAGUAUCCUCUGUGUGCUUUAUCAGUCUAUGAAGGCUGAGAUGUGAUGCUUUCCAGACCUUAUGGUCUACGAUCUGUUCCCGGAAAGGUAACUCCUUCAUUCCCAAAGUGCCGUCAUAUCUCUUCUUCCGUCUGUCAGACUAAGACAGGGACUAGAUCCGAAUUCCUUUCUGAUAUGUAUAACAUGGCUAUCCAUCUUCAUGCAGAUAAAUCUGAACUAUAUCCGUAAAAGAAAAAACGAUCAAUUUAAGUCUAAAAGGAAGGUAAAUGGGUUUGAGGGCUUAAAAUGUUUUAGUUAAGAAAAUAAGAACAAGAAUGUUCAAACAUGACAGAUUCGUGCAAGCAGAAGUUUUUUGAAAUGCAGAUAGUUGUGCAAAUAUAGAAUUAGGGUUCUGUGUUAGAUUUAACACAGAAUAACAAGAAACAUUUAUGUAAAAAUAAUAUGGAACAUUUUGUUAUUAACAUAUAAAUAUACAAAUACAUAUAUGUUCAGUAGAACUGAUUGAGUAUACACAGAAAAGCAUUACCGUAUUAUAGAUUAUUUGAGAGUGGAUAGAAGUAUCCUUUAUUUUUAGUACAAGUCUAUGUGAUUCUUUUCCUUCCAUAAUAUAGUUCCUCAAGCUGUGAUGAUCCUCAACCAUAAAAUUAACUUCAUUGUUACUUGAUUACUGUAAUUUUACUAUUGUUAUGAAUCAUAAUAUAAAAAUAUUAUGUCGAAAUAGUCUAAACCAAUCCCGGUGAAAAGGUCACAAGACUGCAAAGGCAUGGAGACCCAUGGGUUGAAAACUGCUGCUUUGGUGAAUUCUUCCAUAAAUUCUUUUCCUGAACAGUUUCAACCACAACUAGCAGAAAACAAUUAAAGAAUAUUUUUGCAAUUUUAUAAAUAUUGUACCUUAAAGUUUUAUAUAUAUAUAUUAUAUAUAUAUAUAUGUGUGUGUGUGUGUGUGUGUGUGUGUGUAUGUGUGUGUGUGUGUGUGUGUGUGUGUGUGUAUGGACACCGCUGGGCUGGUAAUCCUUAGUUCUAUAAGAAGGCAGGGUGAACAAGCCAUGUGGAGCAAAUCAGCUAGCCGUGCAGCUUCAUGACUGGCUGGUUCUACAUGGAAAAUCUUCUAAACAUUGCCCCCCUCCCCCACAGCUUGAUAUUAUCAAGGUAUUUCUCACUCAAGAUUUCCUCCUCUCAAAUGGCUAUAUUUGGUGUCACAAUGAUAUAGUUUUAUCCAGCACACACACACACACACACAAACACACACGCACACACGCACACACGUAUGUAUACAUAUAUAGAUGUUUAUAUGUAACACACAUAUAAACCUCAAUAUGUGUGUGUGGGUCUACAACAUCCAAUAUGCUUUUUUUAGUGCUGCUUACAGAGUAUGAGUAACCAGUAGUAGAUGUUAUUUAUAAGGCCACGUCCAGCUUAUUAAUUCUACAGUAUGAAAGAAAAUCUCUUUCUCUUCACUGACUAUCUUACCAAAUUAGAAAUCCACAGGGAGACAUGAAAUCUAAGUGUCCUAACCAGGCUUUGGCUCUUGUGUUCUUUCUGUGUUCUCUUAUACUAUAUUUCCUUAGUACUGAGGAGAGGGACUGGUUAUACUAGUUAAAGAUGAUCACUCAACAGUCACCUGUUCUCAGCACUGUGAGAAGUAAUUAGUCUCAGUUACCAUGACCCAUUGCCAGAAGAAAGUUUUCUCUGACCAAACUGACAACAAUACUAAUUUUGGUGGGUGUAGGUGUAUAUUAAGCACAACAACAACUGGAAUUUCCUAGGAUCCGUGACUUCAAAUAUUAAGUCAAUAAAACAGGGUUAUAACCGGAAUAUAACAAGGUGAAUAAUUGGAAAUAAUUUGUUUACCAACAUGGUAGCCUUGACUUUAUUGAUCCAGUGAAUACAUAAUAUAGUGUCUGUCAUACUUUAAACAAAUAUGUAUUUAUAAUUGCUUACUACACUAAUUCAAUUGAAAAAAGAUGAUCUAAGCAUCUAACAUGUACAUACAUCUAUCAUAUACAUCAUUAACAUAUACAUAUUGUCCACAAUAUAUAUCAAGAAUCCAAAUUCUGGAGAUACUGAUUCUAAAUGGCAGACUGAACAGAUUUUAUGCAUAGGUAAAAUUAUGCAACAUUAUUUAUGAUGAAUUAUAACUCUCAAUGCUAGAGAAAUAUAGAAGACAUAUCUAUUCAUAAUUUUUGUUUCUCAAACUCAAGUGGAUUCAUGAUUUAUUCUACUGUCUUCAAAUGCAUUUUUGAAGUGUUUGUAUCUUUACCUCCUGUAUCAUUGCUUCUUCAUUUAGAGAACAGUCUUUGUGAGCAAUCUCUCUUCUAACAAAUUUUACAAAUAUUAUAAAUAAAUAUAUUUACAUAAUUUUCCUCUUUUCUUUCUUCCCUCAAUCACCAUCCACUCGUUUUCAAAUUGAUGGCCUUUUUUCCAUAUAUAUAUAUAUAUAUAUAUAUAUAUAUACACACACACACACACACACACACACACACACACACACACACACACACAA